rnacentral:rRNA from 1 species
UACGUAGGGGGCAAGCGUUGUCCGGAUUUAUUGGGCGUAAAGAGCGUGUAGGCGGCCAGGCAGGUCCGUUGUGAAAACUGGAGGCUCAACCUCCAGACGUCGAUGGAAACCGUUUGGCUAGAGUCCGGAAGAGGAGAGUGGAAUUCCUGGUGUAGCGGUGAAAUGCGCAGAUAUCAGGAAGAACACCCGUGGCGAAGGCGGCUCUCUGGGACGGUACUGACGCUGAGACGCGAAAGCGUGGGGAGCGAACAGG